CACGUAGGGGACGAGCGUUGUCCGGAUUCAUUGGGCGUAAAGCGCGCGUAGGCGGCUCGGAAAGUCGGUCGUGAAAUGCCGGGGCUCAACCCCGGGACUGCGUCCGAUACUCCCGAGCUGGAGGCAGGUAGGGGAGAUCGGAAUUCCUGGUGUAGCGGUGAAAUGCGCAGAUAUCAGGAGGAACACCGGUGGCGAAGGCGGAUCUCUGGGCCUUACCUGACGCUCAGGUGCGAAAGCUAGGGGAGCGAACAGG
rnacentral:rRNA from 1 species